rnacentral:rRNA from 1 species
GAUCCUGGCUCAGGAUGAACGCUAGCUACAGGCUUAACACAUGCAAGUCGAGGGGCAGCAUGUUGGUUGCUUGCAACCGAUGAUGGCGACCGGCGCACGGGUGAGUAACGCGUAUCCAACCUACCCUUGUCCAUCGGAUAACCCGUCGAAAGGCGGCCUAACACGAUAUGCGGUUCACAGCAGGCAUCUAACGUGAACGAAAUGUGAAGGGAGAAGGAGUGGGGAUGCGU